UACGUAGGUGACCAGCGUUGUCCGGAUUUACUGGGCGUAAAGGGCGCGUAGGCGGCGCGGUAAGUCACUUGUGAAAUCUCUGAGCUUAACUCAGAACGGCCAAGUGAUACUGCAGUGCUAGAGUGCAGAAGGGGCAAUCGGAAUUCUUGGUGUAGCGGUGAAAUGCGUAGAUAUCAAGAGGAACACCUGAGGUGAAGACGGGUUGCUAGGCUGACACUGACGCUGAGGCGCGAAAGCCAGGGGAGCAAACGGG
rnacentral:rRNA from 1 species